UCGAAAGAAAUCCUCUCAAUAAAUUCAAUAUAAUCCAUCGACAAACAAAACGAAAACAUAUCGAAAUUAAAUUAAAUUGCACUCUAUUUAUUUAUCAUUUACAGAAACGAUCGCCUUUUGCUAAUCACACAAAGAGAAGAAAAAAAGCUUUGACGUCGUUUGCUCGACUUUAACAUAAUUAUUUGAGUGGAUCCUCGUUAUACAGUAAUUCUCCGUUCAACCCGAGUCACGUUGCAUCGUCAUUUUUAUUUUCCUUUAUUUUUCUCUUUCCAAAACUAUCUUCUCGAAGAUUGGAACGAGAAUAUUUCGCGUAUUUGUUCCUCGUCACUCAUCCUUUAUUUGACUUAAUUAGUAAUUAUAUUCCAUCGACGAGUGGAAUUAAUUUGAUUUAAAAUAACGAGAUUAAUAUCGUUAAUGAAUUUAAAUACGAUAACAAAAUGUUGUAUACUGGCGAUGAAAAACUAUAUGAUGAAAAAGGUGAAAUGUUUCGUGGAAUUUGUGGUCUAUGAUCUAAUUUAAAUCAAUCGUUUUCUAUAUUCGAUUUCGUUUAUAUAUUUAAAAGGUUCUUUUAGUUUUAGAUUUCGUUCUCUUAGGCGCGAGGCUCGUAAUUUCGAGCAUUUGUUUUAUUUCCACGAUUUUCUAUUAUUCUCGAAAUUCAAAGAUAUUUCAAUUAGCGUUUCGAUUAAUUGGCCUCUUUCGUUGAUUUGUUGUUUGAGAUGUUUUAAUUAGAAUGUGGAAUUUCACGAUUUUUUUCAGUAAAAAAUGUGAGAGAUAUAACAAUUAUUCGUGAUAAUAAUUUGUUUAUGACGAAAUUUUUAAGAUUUGUAAUCAAAUAGAUGAUUAUUAAUCAUACUCAAUUUCUCCUCAAUUAAAAGAUUAUUUUCUCAUAUCCGAGAAUUUACGUUUAUCAGAUUAUUAAAUGCAAGAUUAAACUCGUAUGAAAACUCAAACUUAGAAGAGGAUGAUUUUAUUUAUUCAAACGAAACUUUCUUCGAAACUUAAAGAACGCUUAAAACGAAUCGAUAUUUGUAGAACAGAAAAAGAAGAACGUUAAUCUACUUUCCAAGAAAGGUAUAAUGUGACAUCGUAACAUAUAGGAAAACGCUUACGUGCACGCACGUAUAUGUAUAUGUACGUAGUGCAACCAGUUAUACAGUUUGUGAUGUAAAUAUGUAUAUUUACUUGUCUAGCUUCGAUUUUCCGUUCGAUCACCCUUUUUCGUGCUUGUUCCUUUCGGAUUUGAACGUGUCUCAGAAGUCAAAAGCAAUUUUGUCGUUUGACACCGAACACGUAGGCUCCUCGGAUUUCCCUUUGACUAAACGCUAUCCCUCGAGCUUCCUUGAAUUCUUCGGAUCCUUUAGCUUUUAGAGAGCUUAUUAAACGAAAAUUCGUAAGCUCUUUUAAAAAAAAGCUUUAACUCGUUCGAUAAUAAUUUUUUAAUUCGAUUAAAAUAGGAAUACUUUUUCGAGUAUUGUUCGACAAUUUUUAUUUUUAUUUCUACUCGAUUUGUUAUUCAAUAUUUUUAUGUAAUAUUUAAUUUAUACUUUAGGCGACAAGUAUAUACAAAUAAAGCGAUUCCAAUUGAAUAUCUCGGGAAAAUUGAAGAAAUUCGUGUCAACGUGUGUGGAAAAUAGAUCGUGAGAAAUAAUAUCGACGUAAUUUCCUGUCGAAGGAGAAGCAAUAAUGCUUAGUCGUGUGCGAUGAAGAAGAAUCUUGAUUGGGUUGGGACGGAGGGGAAUGGGCUGGGGCAAGAUUUAAUACGACGAUAAUAAUUACGAGUAAUACUUGAUAGAAAAAGUAGCGAUUCAAAUACUUUUGAGAUUAAUUUCAGAUCCUUCCAUCUCGUUGAUUGUGAGAACCGAAGGUUUCUAAAAUUUAAAAAAUUUUACAUCAUCGAAUAUUUCACGGAUAAUGGAAAAUCAUGGUUGAAGAAACGAUUAUUUUUAAAUCGUAAUAUCAUUAUAUAAUUUUUAAAUAGAUUUUAGUAGAUAAGCCCUAUCAAAUCCGUGGAAUAGCGAAUAUAUCUCGCGAGGCAUUAAGGGGAAUCGAUAAUUUUAUCGGUUGCUGGGAAUUUGAAAUCAAGGCGGACAUCGAUUUCUGCGAUGUCGAGCCGGUGUAACAGAUUAAAUCCUAUCAUUUGUAUCGGUGUUGGGCCACGAAACGAAUUGUCGAGGCGUGCUCUGAGCUAUCCUACCUCGGAUAGGUUCCAGUGUAUUCAGAUUUCGACGUGUCCAAAUUUGUCGCGUUGAAUUGCGUCGAUGAUAUAUCGAAGAUAAUUUGUCGCGUGUUUCUUCAACGAUAUCGAUUUUCUUUUUCGAAGAAAUGGAUAUUUAUAAUGUUUCGAAUCGAAUAAAUUUAAUAAUAUCCUCGUUUCGAUACGUAGUUUUCGAAAAUUGAAAAUAGAAAUCACGUUAUCUUGUUCGAUUCAUCGAUUGAACUCUUGAACGUUUUCUCUUUCGCGGAAAACUCAAUUUGCCUUGCGCGUUAUAUCGAAGAAAGAGAUUGCGUCGAAAGAAAGAAAGAAAGAGAUUUUGUCUUUGUCUCCCUGUUCUUGCGCGAGAUGUGAUAAUGAAAAAAUUCUAUUGACACUGUAACACCGAUAUCGUUUUCUUUUUAUUUCCACUCCCUUCACUGCAAGCAAAUUUUAUUCACGAGUUUCAAUUACUUUAUCGUUCUACUAAUAACAAAUUUUAUUUCAAAGAGAAUUGACAAGUAAUCGUGCCGUACACUUUUUUAACACUCGCCCGAUCUUCUUUAUUUCAACAUAUUUUGCUACAAAAUUAAUACUCUCUCUAAAUAUAUGUUAUAAACAAAAUAAAGUAUGAUACAGCGCAAUAAAUAAAACGACACAACUUCACACAAUUCACAGCCUACUAAAAAAAAAGAAAAAAAUAAUGAAAGAAAAAAAAGCAAUUUAUUUCGUCUCACCCGAUUGGUCACGGGUCGUCAAUCAAUAGAAACGAAUUUCCCACCGAUUAAAACGGCGGCCAACAGGGACUUGUAAUUUUUCCUUUCCCCGCUAUAUUUGGAAGAAUCCCUGGAAUCGCUUCGGUGUUAACCUGACCUUAAACUUCGUCGAGCGGAUUCGCAAAGGUCGGGAAACACGAACGGGAUCCAUUCUCUUCUUAAAUUCUCUCCCCUCCCCCUCCCCUCGUGCGAGUUAAGUUUGUUCGGAAAAAGACGAGAGAGAGAAAGAGAGAGAGAGAGAGAAAGAGAGAGAGAGCGUCGAAUCAAUUCAAAAGUCCUGCAAUAUCAAACUUUCCAGUUGAAAAGUUACGUUUCAGACGUAAGGGGUAGGGAGCACUUGGGAGGCUGGAACGCGCAUAAGAGAGGAAGAAAAAACAGAAAAUCAUUAAAAAAGUUAGCGGCCGAAAGUGGGGCACGAUGUGUGCUUCACAUUUCAGGUGUACAAGAGAGUGCACACGAUCGAUGAAUGGGUGAAAAUUUUCGGUGACAUUCAUUCCGAGAGAGCUUUUAAUCCGAGCCUCAAACACGCUCGACCAAAGUUCAAGGGCUACUUCCAACGAGGGCUUUUUUACGGUUCUGAAUUCUCGUAAGGUUUAAGAAGAAUUGUGUCCCGCCACGGCCCGUGGUUAAUUAACACUCGAAGCGAGUGAUUUUGUUCGAAUAUCGUGGAUUAAUGAAAAUUAGCGACGUAUAUAUAUAUUUCACCAUUUUUCUCCAUAUAUUGAUUUAGAGAUAUGGAUUUUUAUACAAGCGAAAGGUAUUCAACUAAUACAUAAAAAAUUUAUAUCACGUCGUAACGAUAAUUGGAUUUUUAUGCAAAAAUCAUGAGGAGAGAGUAAAAAUUUUCUCGUUAAAACGUGGCCAGAAAAUGCGGUAGAUCGUACCAUUGAUAUCACUUUUUGUUUUAUCCCGAUAUCUCGAUCGGUUGCCGAGAUACGAGGAUUCAAAGUUUUCACAACAUAACGCUCAACGUAACGCAGAGAUUAUGAAUGGAACUGGUGAUCCAGUGACCUACAUAUUUUUCCUGGAAACGCGUAUUACGUUCUUCUAGGAAUCGCGUAUGUUGGGAUAGGUCAGUGAAACGAGGUGCGAGCGAGAGGUCUGAGUAAGCGACAAAGACGGCGAGAGUAUACGAUUAAAAAUUACCUUCUUCUUUACACGACGAUAUCUCCGGAACGGGAAGUCGUAUCGGGAUGAAUGAAAAAGCGUUUUAAAGAGGAAGAUUUCACGCUUCCAACGAUCGUUUACCCACCGACGGGAAGUCAGUAUCUUCGGAGUUAUAGCGGUUUAAAGUUUUUGUAAUUUUUAAUACAAGUUUAUUCCAGUUUUAAGGUAAAUUACGUAUGAAAACUGUUGCUUAUCUUAUUAAUAAUGUGUUAAAAUUACAGAUAAGUUAAAGAUAAAUAUAUAUUUGCUGGUAAUAUCAAAUGUAAAGAAAAUAGGCCUAUUUUUAAUCAUAAAGAAUCAGCUCGAGGGCAUUAUUACACAAGAGGAUAAUUUCGCAAUGGUCAAUUUCUGUUUUUGAAUGGUACCACUUUUCUUCCUUGUCUAUAUGCAUCUUAAUUACGAGCUUCGUAAUAGUUUCAAGGUUAAAAAUUUAAUAAGUCAAUGCAUUUAAGUGGUAAAGUAUAGGUAAGAAAACCAAUCGAGUAUCUAUAGCACACUUUCUUUUUCAGAUUCUCUUUCAAUCGUAUGCAUAUAUAAAUUUUACACAGAAUACGCUCAUUUAAUUUCUUCAAUACAAUCUGAAUUUUAAGCUUUCAAUCGAAAAAGGAUUUUGGUGUUUUGUAAAUAUGAAAUAGAAUAAAAAUAUAGGAAGAGAUAUUUUAAAAUAGUGGCUAAUGAUUAAAAAUUUUUUUAAAUUUUUAAAUUUUAACACAAAUACUUAUUAUUUUAUACUUGUUAUUUUUCUUGAAAUAUUUUCCUCUAUAUCGUUCCAUAAAAUCUUUCAUAUAAGAUUGAACGUUUUUUAUUAAAAUAUAGAUUUAACAAUCUUAUUACUUUUAUUAUUCUUAUUAACAUUUCUUCACAUUAAAAUUCAAAUAUUAUGCGCAGAAACGUGGUCGACCGUAAUCGAGAUAGAAACGCGGAAAAAUUCAUUUUAUGUCACUUGAAAGUACGCCAAGAAACUGCUACAAUUUCAAAAUUUACGGGCACUUGCUGCAUGAAUAUAUGAAAAACGGAAGUAUUAUAUUAUACAAUUAUUUUUAUAUAUCGUUUUAAAUGUUUAAAUUCCUUAAAAUUGAAUUAUUUUUCUUACAACAAUAGUUUCGAGUAAAGAAAGGAAUAAAAUUUAUACGUUCUCAUGAGUGAUUAAUAUUACAUUAGGUUGCCAACUAUCGAUCAUUUCUAAGCCUGUUGUUAAUUAAAUAUGAAAGGAACAUUUAUCAAUGUCACGAAUUAAUUACAUUAAAAAUGUAAACUACUUUUUAAAAGAAUAACAAACAUGUAGCAAAUUUUCAUACGCAAUACUUUUUAGUAUAAAACAUCCAUCAAUAAUUAAUCAAAUAUACACUAUAUAUAUAUACACUAACUUCCAUUCCAAAAAAAAGAAAAAGAAAAAAACGUACACAGAGUUUAAUUAAUAAUUCAGAAAUGCUAUCAUACCCUUGCUGUCGAGCAAAACAUUCUCCCUGCAAGCAUCGAUGCAACAUGCAGACGGAGAUGCACGAACAUCGUGCAAAUUCUCGAAAGGAAAAAAUGCGUAUAUUAUGUAUCACCCGGAUGAUUCCUCCGAAAAGAACACAAUAAUGGAGAAGCGAUUCCACCCCAAGAUUUAUGCGUUUUCACGGUGACGUGAACGUGACUCGAGUUUUGCAUAUCGAUCCCAUCUAACUCGUCCCAAUCGUGGGAAAGAAAGGAUCGAAUAAAAAAGGGGAAAGAUUCCAACGACGUUUUGUUUUUUUAAACGAUACGAGGUGGAACGAAAAUUUCGACGGUCGAAAGAGGAAAAAGGAGGGAAAAAAGAAGUAAGAAAUGCAUUUCUAUGGAACGAGAAGAGGGGAGAGUCACACCUUCUCGUCGUGGAGACACGAUAUAGGUCAACUCGAGGAAGAAAAGGGGUUGCAGGUGCUACAUAUUCACUUAGAGAGAAAGGCUGGGAUGGGGCCGAUGAAAGGUCGUCUCACCUUUGGUAAGCAACCUGAGAAAUUCGUGUCAACGUGUGUGGAAAAUAGAGCAGAAACAAUAUCGAUUCGAGGAGGAACGAUCGUGGCUGGUGAAGAAUGAGGAAGAAUCUCGAGGAGAGGAGAGGGGUGGUAAUUUGCUGUUACGAGUGAUGCUCGAAGCAAUGGAUGGUUCGAAUACUUGGAGAGAAAUUUUUAUCCAUCCUCGAGAUGUAUUGCGCGAAAAAUCCUCUAACGAGUUAUAUUUUGUAUUUUUCAGAUUGGUUCAGCAAAAUCUGAAAAACGAUGGGAAAGAUAGCCUUGUUUUCGAAGUAUAAGUAACAAAUAUUCUUCGUGGGUUAAUAUUGCUGAAAUAUCAUAUACAGAGACACGAAUUAUCUAUAACCUGAAUGAUUUGGAAAGAGAAAUGUGAGAUGUACGAAGGAAAAAGUGUUUCUUUAAAAUUAUAUUAUUUGUAUUAUCAUAUAAAAUAUCAAUAUUGCAACUAAUCGGUGAGAUAAAAUUCAAUCGCUUCUCUUUUUCUUCUCGUCAAAUCUUCUUUUCACGAUUUCGUAUCAAAUCUUUAUCCUAUUUUGGAGAAAGAAGAUUUGCAAAAAUCUAUCUUCUCACGCGUCGUUCUUAUAUGAUAUAUUUGUAGUACAAUAUGGGUCAACCCGAAUGCUCGCUUGAUGCCUUGUUCAUCGCAAGAGUUUCCUAGAUAGAAAACGCAGAUGGAAAAUAACUUCUCUCUUUCUCAAUAGAACGCUGAGAACAGAAUAAUGCAAAGCAUACAGACAAACGAUUCUUUACUUAUCUAACAUCAAAGAAAUGCGAACGUUUUAUUAUUAAAAAUCAACAAAGAAUAUCGUUUCAUAUGCUGUCCCAUAUAUUGUGCAGGCUAAAUUUAAUUAAUUUUAAUUGACAUAAAUUAACAAAACUGAUAAACAGUUAAGAGUAUGUAUAAACUUUUAUCCAUUGUAAUAAAUUUUCUUUAUUAUCUGGAAAUUUAUUGACAUGGAUAUCCCAUCGUUCGAGAUUUAAAACGAUCGUGUGUAUAAAAGAAUUAAUCAAAGGAGGGAUUAAUUAUUCGGGGGAAAAAAAUCGAUGAAAAAGAAAAUAACUAGCGACGACAGAGCUGUAAGUAGAACUUUGCUUUACUUGGCGGACGAUACACAGUAACGUAGACGAUAUAGGGCCAGACAUUGGACUUUCAUGAAGUCUCGUUAACCGGCGAAUCAAGCUUGAACUUUCUGCUUAUACAAUAAGUUCCGAAAUGCUGGAAUCUUGAUUGUUUUAAAGUACUCAUCCUUGUCGUGUAAUUUUGGCGGAACUUUGGCCGGAAUAAAAAUUAGCGUAACAUCAUGGACGUAAUUUGGAAUUUAGAAAUUAUUCCUGAUAUUUAAUGGAAUUAUCGUAUUAGUUUUAUAUAAAAGUUUAACAUAUUUCAUAAACAAAAUUUGUUUACUAUUAAAAUAUCGAAAGGAAUAUAUUGUUUUUUAACUGUAGCAGCCAUUGGAUAUUAAUUUUGACUAUAAAUAACCAUGUUUUAAAUUAAAUUCCUAUACAUUCAUUGGAUUAUUAUCAUUUUAUUAUUACUUUAUCGAUACACAUUUUAUUUUCUUCUUUUUCUUUAUAUAUGUAUUAAUAUCAUCCUUGCAAAUAAAUGCUUGGUAAUCUACAUACAUCCUUUAAUUUAACUAUUAUGCAAUUUCAAACGAAGAAUACUGAAGCCAAAAAAAUUUUCACAAUUUACAUGUAUCAUUUACAAGGCUACUAUCGGCAUCCUACGAAAAAAACAUCCAAGCAAAAACAGAAAUAAACUGGCUAUUUCCAUCGAUUACCUGGGGGUAAGCAACUUUCCCAGAAACGUUCAAGCUUGAAGUCAACAAAGUUCCCUUUUAGACGUGGAUAUCUCCGUUGCAUCCUCCUUUUCAAAUCCUACCCCAUUCUAAACUGCGCAUUGGGAGGGGAGGCUCGUGAAAAAACAUUCGAUCCGUCUUGCUUUAUUCGCGUCUCCUAUCGGCUUGGUAAACAGAAUGAUUCUGUCCUCUCUGUGCAAAGUAUCCCAGUUGUGAUUCUGUAACGCUUCUUCUCUCCCGUUGGAACGCGAAAAAACAACGAAUCAACAACAAUCAAGAGGAAAAAAACACGAUGCGUGCACGAAUAAGUGGAAUAAGUCAAAGAAACGCGGGAUGGCAGACGAAAUACACUUAUAAGUAUAUUUUUGAUCACACAAUUUUGCAAAUUAUUUAUUUCUAGCCAAAUUCUUAUGGAUAUAUUUAUUAAUAUUUAUAAUAAGUAUGCAGAUUGAUCGAUUUAUUAUUAAAUCCUUUAAAUAAUUAAUAUCAUAAUUAGUAACAAAUUUGUGAAGAAGCAGUGUUGUGAGAAUUAAUAAUCUGAAAUAGUUAAAUAAUUGAUAUGGUGAAUUAUGAGUACGAUUUCAAAGUCAGGAUUACUUAUGCAGGAUUAAAAUAAUAAAUUUUAUAUUAAUGAAUUAUAUUAAUUGAAACUUAUUAUAUAAAAAAAUUAAUAUGGUGAAUAUAUAUUGAUAAAUUCAAUUAUUUCUUUUUGUCAUUAUUGAUAAGACACGCACAAAAAUUGAUACACAAAAUAGAAUCCAUUAAUGAUCUCAUAAUCUUUUCUUAACCAACUGUUACGAUUAAAGGUUCUCAUAGACAAGAAUGUACUUCAAAGGUUUAUUUCUAAGACAGAAAAAUCUCUUUAGUCUUCCCUCUACUAUACCCAGCCGUUAAUCUAUAUCACGUUGAACAGAUAUUGGGUCGAGAUUUAUUCGAUUUCUCUUCUGCCAUCGUACAUGACAGGGAAAUGACCGUGCAUUUACUGUUUGCCGGGUGAUCUGUGUGGACGAUAGUGGAGAUAGUGAGAGGAAAAUUAAUGGAAAGUGGGAAUCGAUCGUAAAAUAUUGGAAUGGCCGGCGAGUUUUGUUGUUUCUCCUUUUUUUUUCUCUCUCCUCCCCUUUUUCCCUCCUCUUUUUUCGGGAAUAUAGUCUGCGAGGCGUAAAUCGUGGUGCAAAAAUAAAAAUUAAAGGUAAAAAUAUUGGAUUGAAAAUUUUCUUUGGUGGAGGGAAAAUGGAUUUGAAUAUCAAUUGGAUACGUGUAUAUCGAAUUGGUUACGGAUUUCAAUACAGGUUUAAUUGAUACAGGGCUUAUGCGAUACAACAACACCUAUCUAGUUACGUAUUUAUUUAUUCUUAAAGUUUUGAGAAUAAAUAAACGUGAUUUAAUCUUGCUAAAAUUAUAUUAUUUAUUAAUAUUAGAUUAUUUUUAACGUUACAAAUCAACAAUAAUUUUUCCCAAAAGGGCCUAUAUGUAUAUUUUUUUUAAAUAAAAUAUAUAUAAUUCAUCAUUUUGAUAAGUGUGAUUAGCCUUCCAUUAUUAAUUUCUGCUAUACGUAUAUCACAAAUUACAACAGAAUAUGUACCUAUUCGUACAUUUAUUCCAUAUAUAUAUAUAUAUAUAUAUUAGUUAUCACCAUUCCAACUAAUUUCAAUUAAUUCCCACGUGUACGAGAAUAAAAACCAACCAUGAGAAAGAAUUAUAUUUGGCAGUUAAAAUUUGAACAGUUAAAACUCACUAAUUAUUCCCAAUUACGAGCAAAUCUUCGUCAAUUCUUCCUUCGAAAACUCGUUGUUGUUCUCGUUCACUUCCGACUCGUCGUCGUUUCGAAUUUAAAAUUUUUUUCAAAAAAAUGAAAAAGCAUCGAGAGAAAAAACAACAUUGAAGAAGCAUUCAAUAAAUUACAAACGAGGCCUCGGUUUAAUUCCAGCGACUCCUAACCCAAUAUUUAUUCUCAAUUAAAGCGGUUGACAACGUCUCGAAAAGUUGACGAGCGAAACUUGCGAGCUCGUUUGCGCGUUCAUUUACAUUUGACACCCUACUUUAACACGUUCGAUCGCGGAAAUUUGCAAGAGAAAGGGAGAGAGGAAGGGCAAGAAGCAUCUCUCCUCGACGAGAUGUAUAAAAAAGUAGAAGCAAGAUUUCAAUUCGUGGCGUCGAGAUAAGUUGAGAGCGAUUCUCAAUGAAAAAUGAUAACAUCGAUCGAUUCAGAUAUUAAUUGGAAAUGCCAAAUGAAAAUUUCGUGAUUUUAUUUUGAAACAGAGUUGCUAUAGAACUCUGUAUCGUUGUUAAGAAUGUGAAUACAUUGAUAAAAUUUUUUUUUUCUAGCUUCUCAGAGUAAUUUUUCAAUGGAUAUAUUCAGAGCAGAGAGAAAGUUACGAAAAAUAUCACAGAGAGCAAGUUUCGAGAGUUUUACUUUCAAAAUGAGUUAUACAUCUCUCGUAUAACUUGGAUCGUUAAAUAAAUUUUGUAUAUCUUUUUUUUUUUUAAAUAAUGCUUCCUUUCCUCCCCUUUUUCUUUCUAAUUAAAAUUAUAAGUAUCAGAGUAAAUGAUCUACUGCCAGAGAUUUCAGAGAAAGUUGGAUUUCACCUGCAAUUAGAGGCAAGGUUGUACUUGUCGACCUGAUUUUCAUCGUGUUUUAUCGUGAUUUUUUAAAGGUAUAUCCUGCUCUCAGAAAGAGAGAGAGAGAUAGAUCAAAAUUGCAGAAGAAAAUCAGUUUUAUAAAUUUUUCCACCGCGUUACAAUCAAUUUUAAUUUAACUCUUCCAUUGACUUUCGUUAUGUAAAAUGGAAAAUAAAAUUGGAAAUUACGCUUAUCCUAUUUUUUUCAAAAAUACAAAAUAACCGAAGAGAAUGAAUAGAAAAUUGGCGUGAUAAAAUAUGAUAAGUCGCCGCUAUCACGCUAUCAUUUAUAAAGGACAAAAGUUAGUUAAUGAUCUGAUAUACAUGGGUUGUUUGCGUGAAUUCGUGAGAUUAAACUGGGUCAAUUUGGUAUUUCGCCACGUGGGCGGGGAUGCCACUUCGUUAUGCACGAAUGUGUUUCCUCUUCUUGAGGAGGAAAGAGUUCUUUUUCGGUUAAUAAACGGUCUGCCACGAGCUGCGUUGUUAUCUCGAUCGCAAAAACGAAAUUUUAACGGGGAUUUUAACUCCUCCGUUCAUAGUGGUGAGUUAUCGAUUGUCAGACUUAACCUUCGAGGAAAGAGAUGGGUGAUUUUUGUUUGCUGCUUCGAGUGAUUUUCAGAUGCGAGCUCAAUUUUCCGCGUGGUCUGGUUUAUCGAAUAUAUUAUCUUAUAUUUCUGACUGUAUUACUUUGUACUGAUUUGUGCUCCCUUUAUGAAUAUUUAUUAUUGUUACGAACAUCUUAUUGAACAUUAUAUAUAUCCUCUAUAUAUUUUAAAUAUAUUUAUGUUUUGUAUCUUUAUUUUUUAGAUGUUGUAGAGAAAUUAGAGAAUUGAGAAUGAGAGCACGAAUAUUUUUCUUUUAUUUUUAUUCUAACUGUAAGGAAAGAGGAGGAAAAAAACUUAAUUCGAUUUUAAAGUGAAAAUUAUUGCAAAUUAUCGUGCGAAACAUUUGUAAAUAUUAUACAUCACGUAACAUCAAGACACGAAUCUUUAGAAUAAAUUUAAGACGACAACAAACAGAACAAAUCUAACAAGAACAGAUUCGAUUGAUUCGAUGUUUAAAAAUGUUCAAGGAGACAAAACAUCUCUCUCUAUUCAAAAUAUUAAAGAUAACUAUCAAAAUCAACAAUGUGUGCAGAGAUAUUACUAAAAAAAAAAAAAAAAAAUUAAAAGAACAAAGAACGCAUUAAAGAAGCCUGAACUUCGUACAACUUUGUAGUAAAGCGUUAAUCAGGCGCAGAUCACAAUAGGUUGGCCACUCAUCGCCAGGACACGCCGUCAAAAAUUUAUUGCGGUUGAUUUGCAUAAACGCGGCCGCAUAAUUCAAUGGGAAUCCGUAUCAAAGACCGGCGGGGAAAUAAUGGAGAUAUACGAGAUACUCGUCACGAGGACGCGGUUCAUCACUUCCUCCAGUUUCAAGGGAAUAAAUUUCCCGCUCGUCAAGCCCGCAGAUUCACGACAUAAAUCGCGCAUUCAGCGAAUACAGCGCCAAUGGUUGGAAGGGAGAGAGAAAAAAAAAAGAGGAAGGGAAAAAAGCAACGAUCGAACGAUAUCGUGCAGACCAGAAACCGACCGCGAAUCGAUUGGAUUGGCUAAGAACGUUCCCUUAGGGGAAAAUUGGACACGAGAUUGGAGGAGAGUACGAGAGCUAUACACAUAUUUCAUCGCGGAGUGAUUCUUGGAAUUUAUUUCGAUGGAAUAUUCGUUUAUACCUCGUUCGAUCGAUCCAGACCUGUUAUUAUUAAUUUUUGUUAAUUAAGAAGCGGACGAGUUGAAGAGUGAAAGGUAAAUUAAAAUUGUAGCUAUUAUAAUUUGUCUAAAAUUUAGAAAUAAUUUUUAUUUAUUCGUGUACGAUUAAAAAUAUUUUAGGAUAUUUUCAGUAUCGAUUAUAUAAAUUUAUUUUGAGAUUAUGAUAGUUUCUCUACAUCAUCGUGUAAAACGAUUACGAAUUAAUUGUCCCACUUCUGUAAUGAUAUUCGAAGCAGUUACAAUUUGUAAUGGCGUUAGAGUUGAAUUAAAUCGUGCAGCUCUCGCAUCUGGACUGCAAUUUCCUCGUAUCAUAAGAUGGAAACGGUGACAGGUGAGAAUCUGUUUGAGACAUUGACAUAUGAGACAAGGGAACUCUUCCAUUUUUUUUUUAUUUCCGACCAUUUGGCGCUCGUGUCUCUUAGUGAAUUUGCUUCUUCAGGACACGCAUCAAGAUUUAUUAUAAUCUUUUUUAAAAUUCAUAUAAAAAGAGAUUGAAAACAAAUUAAAGCAACGUUACAAAUUUACAACGAGAUGAAUUAAAGGAACAAAUUUUGGAAAUCUUUGGAGAGAAACAAUGAUAUUUAUACGUGGUAUUUGAAAUAUUUUCUAGAUAAGAAAUAAUAAUACAACAUAAAUAUAUAACCAAAUAAUGAAAAGAAACGUGAUACGUUCGAUCAUAAAAAAAAGAAGGCACGAAGAAAACUCUACGAAUCAAAAUUGACAAAUUCGAAAUUAGUUUCGACGAACAAUUUGAAAGAUAAUUUGAAAGAUUGUUGCUUCACAACAAUCCUUUACCAUUCAUUGCAAUUAUAUCUCCAGCCAGUGAGAAUUGAACAAUUUAAGAGCUGUCGACGAGAUCCUAAUCGUGGUAAUCCACGUGAUACAGCCUGUCUCGUAACUAAUGCAAGAGGCGAUGGAUUUCGAGGCUGCCAAACAGGUUGAUCGAUAAAUCCAUAGGCGAGCCGAGAGUGGCCUAUUGUUAGCUCCUUUGACAUUAUGUUGAUUCACCAACGUGGGGUCAUAAUCGGCGGUAACCAAGCGCACCUGUGCGUCCUUUCAACCCUGUCUGCCAAUCGUCCAAAGAUUCCACGAAAGCUUCUCCAAACCGGCGCCCAUUGUUACUCCCAACGAACCAGAAAUAGGGUGCACUUUAAGGGUGCACGCGCCAUUAUCGAACCGUAUUCAUUGUUGGAGAAACUUAUCGUGCAUGCACACUGUGUAAAUAUAUGUAUGUACGUAUAUAUACGUGAAGCAGAACAUAUUGUGAGCAGAUUUAUCAAUUUCCUGUUGGCUCGAGCCGCCCCAACGAUUUUUAACUUUCCAAAUAUGGGGCGAGGGAUUCGAUGAUCGAAACGAAUAUUUCUUUACAUCUAUACUUUAAAUCGGGUGUAAUAUAUUCAUUCGUUUAAUUUGAAAUUGCGUAAUAAACACUGUCGCGUUAUAUUGCCAAGAGGAAUAACUUUCUAACCCGAAACUCUAUUUGUAGAUAAAUCAACGUAUCAACCCCCAAAGGCUCGUAAAGUAAGUUUCUUUUGUAACUGGCGAAUGCAAAUGCGGCAACGUCAUGAGAGAGGGUCGGUUUUGCAUUCACGCGCAACUUGCAGAACGCAAAUAUACGCCGAAUAUACAGGGGGAACAAUAAUUAUCCGGUUGAUGCAUAGUUCUGGAGGAGAGUAUAAUUUGAAACUGGUUGGCACAGGUUGCGAUUCUCCAUUGUGAAUCGUCGAGCCUCCAUCGGAGGAAUUCCGCGGUAUUAUAUGCGUUCACUCGUGAUUCUCUCUUUGUUAUCUAUCGGGUUUUUUCCAAUUCGAUUGGCAAAGUUAUGCUUCCAUCAUUGAAAGAAUAAGAGAUAGCAUAACACAACGUUUUCCAUUUUGGUGAUACCGCUUUAGAGGAUUUAUUAAUUUUUGUUUUCUUCCGUGCGAUGGAUUUAUCUCUUUCUGAGAGGGGAUCAAAAAGAGUGUGCAAUGAAGGGGAGAUGAUUGAUUUUGAAUUUGCAUUGAAGUCGAGGGAAAAUAAAAGAAUUAUAUCGUAAUAUUUAUUUAUUUUAAUUUCUUUGUGAUUCUUUGAGAUGAAAAGAAUUCUAUUCUUUCCUUUUAUUGAUAUAUCCAUGAUUUAUAUAGAUCGGGAAUUUAUUUUAAGUAUUCGUAUUUGUUUCAUGGAUAAAGUAUGCAAAAGAGGAAUUAUAUUUUAAAAGCUAUAAAUAAAACAGAUUUAUAGUAAAUAUAAUAGUUUGAAAUAGAAGCUUAAAAUAGAAGAAGCAUUAAGCAUUACAUUAUCGCCAUCAAUAAAUAUUUUUAUCAUUUAUUCAACCGAUACAGAAUUGAAAAAAAGACCAUAGCGUUAAAUCUCUUAUAGUGUUUAAAACCUUUAAUGGGGAUUAGAUAAGUCGGUUUAUAGCCAUUGAAAAAAGUAAUUCCGACAAAUCCUAUUUUAAAGUAUAGUAGCAAUGUAAAUCAAUGAAUAUUUCUCAAGAAAAUUUCGAAUAAAAUAAUUUUAUGAAUUCAAAUAGAUAUUUAAUUCUUAAUUUUUAUAAUUCUUAUUUGAAACAAAUUGAUUAGAGAGAGAGAGAGAGAGAGAAGAAUACUAUUAUCUUAGAUGAGAAAAUAAUGAUAAUGGAAAAUGGGAUGUACUGUGUUAAAAUACGACACGAAGACCAGGAAAUGCUGAAACGAAAUAGGGUAAUUGAAUGAUCCUACUGAAAUAUUCAAGUGUUGAAGUACUCUGCUAAACGUAUUCGUGUUAAAUGUAAUGAAGAUUCUAGAUGAAAAUGCGAAGAAGGUGCAAAUUCGAGGGAAAUGUGGAUAAAUUAAAAAGAAUUUUUUUUCAACAUGAAUAUGAUUAAAAAUUUUUUAGAAAAACAACACAAAGAAGGAGUAUUAACACAAAUUCGAAUAAUAAUGUUCGUAAAUUUUCGUAGAGGAAAUAAUAUACUUGAAAUGGAAAUUAAAAAAAAUUUGUUUUGAAAAAAUGUUCUUUUUUUUCACUCAUGAUCCUCAGUAUUGUGAAAGUAGAAUUUAAUUAAAAAAAUUUUCGCGUAUCUGCAUAUUUAUAAUUUUAUUAAAUUGGAAAAAAAAUAAUAACAAGCACGAAAGAUAAUUUUUAUUUAAUAAAUUUAUGAUGCUUAUAAUUUAUUUUAUACAAAUAAUAAGUUAUAACACAAGCUCCAAUAUGUUACAUGUUCUGUUGAAUUGUACAAUCUACAUUCUGUUAUAAUUCAUAUUCUAAUAUGAAUUAUAUUAAAAAAUAUUAAAAGAAUGAACAAUAUAUCAAAAUUUCUACAAAUAUCCAUUAUUCAUUAAAAUACAAGUUGCAAAAGGUAAUGUAAAAAUAUAAUAUUAUUGGAAAUACAUUUC